rnacentral:rRNA from 1 species
CCCGCACAAGCGGUGAGCAUGUGGUUAAUUCGAUGCAACGCGAAGAACCUUACCUGGACUUGACAUCUCGGGAAUCCCCUGGAAACAGGGGAGUGCCCUUCGGGAGCCCGAAGACAGGUGCUGCAUGGCUGUCGUCAGCUCGUGUCGUGAGAUGUUGGGUUAAGUCCCGCAACGAGCGCAACCCUUGUCUUUAAUUGCCAUCAUUCAGUUGGGCACUUUAAAGAGACUGCCGGUGUUAAGCCGGAGGAAGGUGGGAUGACGUCAAGUCCUCAUGGCCUUUACGAGUAGGGCUACACACGUGCUACAAUGGCAUAUACAAAGAGAAGCGAACUCGCGAGAGCAAGCGGACCUCAUAAAGUAUGUCGUAGUCCGGAUUGGAGUCUGCAACUCGACUCCAUGAAGUCGGAAUCGCUAGUAAUCGUAGAUCAGAAUGCUACGGUGAAUACGUUCCCGGGCCUU